CCCUUAGAUGUUCUGGGCCGCACGCGCGCUACACUGAUGCAUUCAACAAGCCUAGCCUUGACCGAGAGGUCCGGGUAAUCUUUGAAACUGCGUCGUGAUGGGGCUAGAUUAUUGCAAUUAUUAAUCUUCAACGAGGAAUGCCUAGUAAGCGUGAUUCAUCAAAUCGCGUUGAUUACGUCCCUGCCCUUUGUACACACCGCCCGUCGCUCCUACCGAUUGAAUGUGUUGGUGAGGAGCUCGGAUUGGCAGCAGUUGGUGGUUCGCCACCGGCUAUUGCUGAGAAGUCCUCCAAACCGCCCCAUUUAGAGGAAGGAGAAGUCGUAACA
rnacentral:rRNA from 1 species